rnacentral:rRNA from 1 species
GCUACGGGAGGCAGCAGUGGGGAAUAUUGCACAAUGGGGGAAACCCUGAUGCAGCGACGCCGCGUGAGUGAAGAAGUAUUUCGGUAUGUAAAGCUCUAUCAGCAGGGAAGAAAAUGACGGUACCUGACUAAGAAGCCCCGGCUAACUACGUGCCAGCAGCCGCGGUCAUCCGUAGGGGGCACGCGUUAUCAGGAGUUACUGGGUGUAAAGGGAGAGUAGACGGCCAGACAAGUCAGAAGUGAAAGCCCAGGGUUCAACCCUGGGACUGCUUUUGAAACUGCCGGGCUGGAGUGCAGGAGAGGUAAGCGGAAGUCCUAGUGUAGCGGUGAAAUGCGUAGAGAGUAGGAGGAACACCAGUGGCGAAGGCGGCUUACUGGACUGUAACUGACGUUGAGGCUCGAAAGCGUGGGGAGCAAACAGGAUUAGAUACCCGAGUAGUC